rnacentral:rRNA from 1 species
UACAGAGGGGGCAAGCGUUAUUCGGAAUUAUUGGGCGUAAAGGGCGCGUAGGCGGCCUGACAAGUGGAAGGUGAAAUCCCUCGGCUUAACCGAGGAACUGCCCUCCAAACUGUUUGGCUUGAGUCCGGGAGAGGUGAGUGGAAUUCCCAGUGUAGCGGUGAAAUGCGUAGAUAUUGGGAGGAACACCAGUGGCGAAGGCGGCUCACUGGACCGGUACUGACGCUGAGGCGCGAAAGCGUGGGGAGCAAACGGG